ACAGGCAGAAUGUUAAAGAACAUGGUUGUCUAGCAACCGAGUACCCCCAGGAAAAGGGCUUCUUUUUGAGCCGGGGAACAUUUUUUCUACAGGCGUGCACACACACACACACACACACAUGUGGAUGUAUCCAGGCUGCGAGCCGCUGCUCUUACCUUUCGCCCCGCGGAGCACAAAUCCGAAGCCCUCAUUGUCUUUCUUCUGCAGGACCACGGUCUUCUCCUCGAUGAUGCAGUCACUGUAGAGAGAAUUCCGGGGAUAGCGCCCAUUACUGUAGCCCGUCAUCAUCACCGUGGCCGAUCCUCCAGCGGGGACGUUCAUCAUCAUAGCCAAUUAAUCACCCCAGCUCGCGGGCUCCAGGCAGCAUGGAGGCAAGCAAGCCGGGUGCAGGAGGAGUGAAGGCAGCUGGGGGGCAGGCUAACGGGAUAGGCGGGCUCGGAGGGGGGGGCCGGGCAGAGGCAGAGCGGGAGCGAGCAGGAGGCAGGAGUCAUACAUGGUGAUGGCAGCGCGGGCUGGCUCUGGGCAGCGGAAAGCAGAGAAAGUAAGUGGCCCGCGGGCACGGAGGAGGCCGCGCGUUACGGAGCCCGGGCCGGAGGCAGCAUCCAGGGCGGCGCAAGGAAGUCAGCCGGAGCGGACAGGAGGCGGCAGGCUUUGUUUUUUUUUUUCUUCUUCUCGAAGGGCUUUAAAAAAACAUCACAUUCUUUGUGCUCCCUGCAGCCGCAGGAAAGAAACCCCAAAGCUCCAACUUUGCUUCGGUGGCCAGAGCCUCCCACCAUCCAGAGUACGGGCGCGUCGCCACGUGAUCAACCGCCCGCGGCACCGGGUGCAGGACCGAGGUGGACUUCCCGGCACCCCGCCCACCUUCCGGGGGCCGCAUCCCUCUAGGAUUCCCUGCUGCCCCGGAAGAAGCUCGUGGCCCCCGCUUGCAACCCAGGUAGGGUGGCCCGGCAGGGGCCAGCAGCCGAGAGCAUCGCACAGCACGGACGAGCCGGGGCGGCUUCCGAGAGGUGGGGGACGCAGCCGGAGGACACACAGGUGUCCGGACCCGCUGCUGAGCCCUCCAGCCCUGCAAGAGGUGCCGCACAAAGGAACUCGUGGGCGUGGCCCUGCCUUCCAGGAAAGCAGGGAGGGACACACACCUUGACAACAGGCAGACCACACAAUCCAGGAUGACCGGUCCAGGGUGUUCUCAGAACCUGGGCCGGGGUUCAGUCCCUGGGCACUCACUCAGCCUGCCAAGUACGGGGGGGGGGGGGCCCCAGGGAGCCAUUGCUUUAACUGCCGCUUGGCGGGGAGCCAGGACCCGGGAACCACAGGAGCGGAAGGGGAGGGGCUUGGUGGGCGGGGCUCUGGGGGGAGUGGACCCUCCACCAGGCCUGUCCGCCUUUCCAUCCCGUGCCUUCCCCGACCAGAAUACAGACACAACUGUCUCCCCACCACCCCUUCUCCCCACCUCUGAACUUCUCAAGCCUGAGGGCGCCCUGGCUGGGCAGGUGCAAACCCGCCACCUGCUCCUCCAGCGAGAGGCCUCCAAGGGCCAGUCUGCUGAAGCCGCACCUUUUGCAGCUGCACGUCCCCCUGCAGGAGCGGCCCCUUGAAACUCUGGAAGGAUGGUGCCUGCCCCCCUGGGGACACAUGUGGCCCCCGACGCCUGCCUCCGCCCGGCUCCAAGGUGACCCUGUCCCGCUUUCCCCUCUCGUGGCCUCACCAUGGGCCGGCUCCACCCGCCUGGCAGGCGACCCCCGACACCUUCAGCUGGACCCUCCAGCUGUCCCCCAGGCCGGGGAACUUGUUAGGGACAGUGUGGCUGGCCGGCCACUGGUUGACUCCCUCCCUACCGACCGUGGAGGGCGAGGGAAGGCAUUAGCGUCAUGCAGAGCUCAGCUCAGAUCCCGGCUUUGCUCUGGCCCCAAGGUCACUCUGACCUUCAGAGCCUCAGGGUCCCGCUCUGCAGAAUGGGAAUAAUAGCAAGGCACGGCUUGAGGACUCACGAGGAGUCAGCAAAGCAAUCCAUCUGAGCCCAGGUACGCAGCACAUGUUAAGAACAGCAACCGUCCCGAGCGGGGUCAUCGUUGGCGUGUGCCAACCCCCUCUUCCUCCUGUAAGGACCCCUCCCAGGCUAACGGCAGAGCCCCUCUCCUGAGUCCCCUCUUAAACCUCGCAGCGGUUCCUGACGACUUGCUCGUGGCUGCCUGUCUUGGCCCUGUGCUGUGUGGCUACGCCGUCCUGCUCACCGAGAAAACGCCCGGCUCCUUAGUCUCUGAUCUGAAGAAAGCAGCUUGAAUUCCUCUCUCCUGCAUUAGUUCAGUAGCUAAACAGCCCCCGGUGCCCUGCCCGUCAUGACCCCAUCUCACCUUCAUUCACACACAGACCUGGGUUUGAAUCCCAACCUGGGCAUUCACCAGCUUAGCUUCUCAGAGCCUCAGUUUCCCUAUCUGCAAUGUGGGAGCAGUAAUUCCUGCCUUGCAGGGACUCUGAGAGCAAGUGAGGGCAGUGCCCCUGCCCUCACAACAGGGGAAGGUGCCCUCGUCAGCAUCCCCACGUGCCGAACCCCCCAGGAGACAGCGACCUCUUCCUGGGGUUACCCAGCACGGGGCCACGUGAAAUGGAGCAAAAUGGGCAUGAACGCAGGCGUGCAAAACAGGGGUGGCAGUGGCCGAAGGAAGACCGCAGGGUUUCGAGUGAAGAGGUCUCCGGGACGGUCCCCAGAGGGCAGGGCGGCCCAGCAUUGUGGAGGGCCCACUGCACACAGCUGGCCCCGCCCAGGACGGGAAAGGCAGUUCCGGGCUCUUAGAAACCUACAAUCUGGGUAGCAGUCCUUGAGAAGCGAUGGGAAACUCCAACACAAGAGUCAUUCCCUUAAAACAGGAGCAAAUGUCCAGUUUUGUCCGAAUGGCCCGACCACCCGCGUGGGAUGAGAACGGGAAAUCCCACAGUCCAGACCUCAGGGCAGGGCCUUCCCCAGGUGAGAGUCUCCCAGGGGGCUCUUUUGGCUGCUCUAUGAACCUAAAAACCGUCUCAGGACGGCAGCCGCGGCAUCCGGAAGACGUGGCUUCUGUGUGCUGCCGCCAGAGAUGCGCCGAAGCCCCGAGAACCAGAGGCCGCCUGAACCUCCGCCCCAGGCCAGCCCUGGUCCCGCCCGAGCAGAUCUGCCCUCCAGAUGCAGCCCCAACGCGCGAGAUCUGACUUCACUGGGGCAGGACCUCGGCACAUGCACGGUCCCCGUGCUGCUCCCCGCGCUGUGCAUGCAGAAAUCACCACCACCUGGUCCCUGGGGACGGGGCCUAGGGCCGCAAACAGCCCAACUCCAAAGUGAUCACGCCCACCUUGCUUUGCAUCUUCCCCCUGCCUUGGACCCCAAUCGCAGCCCAGCCUCACGGCCGAGUCUCCUCCAUAUGCUCAGUUUCACUCCCCUGAAACGCCCUCCACUUGGCCUUAUCGUUUACCCACGUCCUCGCAGUACCUCACUUCCUUCUGUUCCACGUUCCCUUUGCCGGCCACGUCCACCCAAGCCCUCCUGACAAGGGGCCAUCACAUAAUCUCUCUACGGGGGUUCCCUCCAGCCUUGUCCCAGCCUCUGAUGGGGCCCUUCUCACCUUCAAAGCCAUCACCUGUGGGCUUCUUGGGAGUAAACAUCACGCCCCUUUCUCUCUGAAUCUCCCUACGUGCCAUAACAUCUACUCUUGGUAAGAUUCUAACUGUGUUUGUUAAUGAGAAAAAAAUGUAAUCCCGUUGUGCUCUCUUCCGAUGUGUUUU